AACGUAGGUGGCAAGCGUUAUCCGGAUUUACUGGGCGUAAAGGGUGUGCAGGCGGGCGGUCAAGUGGUGUAUGAAAUAUCCUGCUCAACCAGGAGAGGUUAUGCCAGACUGACCGUCUUGAGUGCGAGAGAGGGGCGUGGAAUUCCGGGUGUAGUGGUGAAAUGCGUAGAGAUCCGGAGGAACCCCAGAGGCGAAGGCGGCGCCUGGCUCGCAACUGACGCUCAUACACGACAGCAUGGGGAGCGGAACGGG
rnacentral:rRNA from 1 species